CCCUGCAAUCCCCAGUCUUUCCUUAAGUUGACAUAUCCCCUGGAUUUUGUGUGUGUGUUCGUACAUGUGUGAGUUUCUGUGCGAGACAUUCCUUUGUAAGGUCCAGGAGCUCCGUGCUGUCACACACUUCCUCCCUGAGGCCAGAGCCUUGAGGAGGGGGGAGGAGGAAGAGGAGGGAAACUGGCUCAGUACUUGAAAAAACUUUUGAAAAAUGCACACAGGCUCCAACAUCCCUAAUGCUGAUUCAACAUGCUGAACUGACCAAGAAAAAAACACACUGCAAAAACUAGGGUGUCAGACGCUUUCUGACAGCCUGACAUUGACCGGUGGUCCACCCAUGGCUUGGAUGACCCAUACUGUUGCUGAGUUUGGGGUUUCACUGUCUUACAGUACAGCCCUGAGGGGGAAACUCCACUCCAGUGACAUGGAGUGGGGAUGCAGCAGGAAGCCACAGGCGGUGAUGUGACGACUUCCAUCCGCUCACGUUGAGCUUAACGACCACCCAACCUAAUAUGGUCAAAGACUCAAGAGUUAAACAGCCACGCUCUCAGGGGUUCAAGUGCCUGACAAAGUGGUCAGGUAUGCCAGCUAUGGUGGCUUAACCCGCUGGAGGUCCUGCACAGGUUGGAGGUAGCACGCCGGAUGUGAUGUGAGUCCUAAGCCUAAUUAGGGCAGU